GCUAUUCACCAAACAGUGGACAAAGCUAGACAUCUAGUUCUAUCACUGGACAGAUAGCCAGCCUAAGUCUUAAAUGACUACGUUUUGAGGGUCACGACACCUACAGGUACUUUCCAGCCCGUAGCCCUGUCGUCAAUCAUUAAACAUGUGUAUUUGGUUAAGGAAGUGUGAUUGACAUAACAAGCCUUCAAAACAUUGGCGAGGAAAACAUUAC
rfam:Tolypothrix campylonemoides VB511288 scaffold_0, whole genome shotgun sequence.